rnacentral:lncRNA from 1 species
UUGCCUCAUGCCAAUAGCCCAGGCCUGGGGCACCUCAAAACAGCCUCAUCUCUGCUUCUCUUUUACCCCACCCUUCCUGGGGGCAUUCUACUGGUCAUACCUUGGCUAAACUCCAAAGUCAGCACUGUCCCUGUGUAUCCCCAAUCCAGGACCAAGGGCCAGGCUGGGAGGCUAGAGGCUACCCUGCCCCCCCCCCCAUCAUGGCUUAGAGAAGCCUAGAGAAGCCAUUGGGCCUUGGAUCAGGGAGGUGGGCCCAGGUGAGAAGCCUCUGCCAGCUUACUGUGUGCAGGAGUAGGACAUCAUGCCAAACCACUUUCCCAGGUACAGAGCCACCUGCAGAUCAGGAAACGACAAGUCCUUGCACCCUGGGGGCUACUGCGAACAGAGGAGAAGGCUGUGUGUCAGGACAAAGCUAUACAAGUGUCUGGAUAAACUGCCCUGUGACCGAGGUCCUUAAACCCAAGUCCAGGCUGCAUACAGACACCAAAAGCUUCAACUCUCAGUCACAGAUUUUGCUUCUUAGAGUCUAUGACCAGCACCCAACAGAAAUGGACCCAAAUAGCCAUCUCCUUGGCAAGCCAGGUCCCAUGUUCUUCCAUCUCUAAGAGUACGUCUUAGUGGCUUCUAGGUCCAUGAACUUCUAUUCAUCCUGCAAAGCCAUAUUCAUCUAACCCUUUGCCUGAUAAUCCUAUGUACUCCGCAUACUCAGCUCAUCUCAAGUCUCAUCUUUGACCAUACCAUGCUGUGGCAGUCUGCAGAUCUGUGUCUCUCAUUGGGCUGUGUCUGCAUCAGAUGGGUCCCAAGGGCCCUAUAUGCUAGGUGCCAGCAUGUUACGGCUGCAAUAAAGGCCUGACUGAAUCACUGCUGUGUGAUUUUGACCCACUCAGUACCAGACC